AACGAACGCUGGCGGCAGGCUUAACACAUGCAAGUCGAGCGCCCCGCAAGGGGAGCGGCAGACGGGUGAGUAACGCGUGGGAAUCUUCCCAUCUCUACGGAAUAACGCAUGGAAACGUGUGCUAAUACCGUAUACGUCCUUCGGGAGAAAGAUUUAUCGGAGAUGGAUGAGCCCGCGUUGGAUUAGCGAGGUGGCGGGGUAAAGGCCUACCAAGGCGACGAUCCAUAGCUGGUCUGAGAGGAUGAUCAGCCACACUGGGACUGAGACACGGCCCAGACUCCUACGGGAGGCAGCAGUGGGGAAUAUUGGACAAUGGGCGCAAGCCUGAUCCAGCCAUGCCGCGUGAGUGAUGAAGGCCCUAGGGUUGUAAAGCUCCUUCACCGGUGAAGAUAAUGACGGUAACCGGAGAAGAAGCCCCAGCUAACUUCGUGCCAGCAGCCGCAGUAAUAC
rnacentral:rRNA from 1 species